CCUACGGGUGACAGCAGUGAGGAAUAUUGGUCAAUGGGCGGAAGCCUGAACCAGCCAAGUCGCGUGAGGGAUUAAGGCCCUGCGGGUCGUAAACCUCUUUUGCCGGGGAGCAGAGUUCCGGACGUGUCCGGGCCGGGAGAGUACCCGGAGAAAAAGCAUCGGCUAACCCCGUGCCAGCAGCCGCGGUAAUACGGGGGUUGCGAGCGUUAUCCGGUUUUAUUGGGUUUAAGGGGUGCGUAGGCGGGCAUUUAAGCCGGCGGUCAAAUGUCGGGGCUCAACCCCGGCCUGCCGUCGAAACUGGGUGCCUUGAGUGGGCGAGAAGUAUGCGGAAUGCGUGGUGUAGCGGUGAAAUGCAUAGAUAUCACGCAGAACCCCGAUUGCGAAGGCAGCAUACCGGCGCCCUACUGACGCUGAGGCACGAAAGUGCGGGUAUCGAACAGGAUUAGAUACCCCGGUAGUC
rnacentral:rRNA from 1 species